GGCAACUACACCCAGUUGAUCAGUCAUAAUGUGUCACAGGGGCGUGGCAAUUUAUACUAAACCAAGAAAAUCAGCUAAAAUCACCAUUUUUGAGAAGAAGGGCCGCUCUAGCAAAGAAGAGACUGAUCUAGCUCCUAACCUACCAGUAGCGUGCACUUCCGCUGGAGUUCAAAAGAUGUGCAAGCAGCCCUUUUGGAAUGAUGAUGUCAUAUGAUGUAACAGGUGGUGGUCCACUAGAAGCGCCAAUAGUUGAACUUUCAGUACCUGCACUCAAAUUGAUCCAAUCACAUUUAGUUUAGAAGAUAUACACAAAAACGUAAAAAACAAAAGUUUUACUCUCUUUGGUUGUUGCACUGUACAACUAUCACACCAGUUUAGUCGUCUCAGCAGGCAUCAUGCAUUUAAUUCGUUCACUGUGCAGGUAUAUGGCCGCAUUCUAUUAAAGGGUUUCUAUAAUUAUAGAUCUACAAUUAUAUCGAUCGAGUGUAUAAUGUACGAUCACUUGAACAGUAUAUGUGUACAGUUUUUGAUUAUAGCAAGCACAUGCACAUAC